GAAGUUUUUCACCUAAUUGGUAAGAAGCUUUUAUUUUUGCAUGGAGGGUAAUGACCUGCAUUCUUUGUGAACUUUAGAAAUAUUUGGUUGAAGAGAGUUGGAGUCUAGAAUCAGAUUAAAAAUAGAUAACUUUCAUUCCAACUAUUUAUUUGAUUGGAAAAAAUCCCAUUCCAAUUCUGAGGCAAAAUGUAAAUGGCCC
rnacentral:lncRNA from 1 species